GCGCAGCAGUCGAGAAACUUUACAAUGUGCGAAAGCACGAUAAGGGAACUCUGAGUGCCUCCUAAGGAGGCUGUUCUGAUGUCUAAAAAGCAACAGAAGUAAGGGCUGGGUAAGACCGGUGCCAGCCGCCGCGGUAACACCGGCAGCCCAAGUGGUAGCCACGUUUAUUGGGUCUAAAGCGUUCGUAGCCGGCCAGGUAAGUUCCUUGGUAAAUUUAGCCGCUUAACGGUUAAGCUUUCAGGGAAUACUGCUUGGCUUGGGACUGGGGAGAGGUCAGAGGUACUCCGGGGGUAGGGGUGAAAUCUAUUAAUCCCUGGGGGACCACCGGUAGCGAAGGCGUCUGACCAGACCAGGUCCGACGGUGAGGGACGAAGGCUAGGGGCGCGAACCGGAUUAGAUACCCGCAUAGU
rnacentral:rRNA from 1 species